rnacentral:rRNA from 1 species
GAGUUUGAUCCUGGCUCAGAUUGAACGCUGGCGGCAGGCCUAACACAUGCAAGUCGAACGGUAACGGGAAGAAGCUUGCUUCUUUGCCGACGAGUGGCGGACGGGUGAGUAAUACUUAGGAAUAUGCCUUUGUGUGGGGGAUAACUAUUGGAAACGAUAGCUAAUACCGCAUAACGUCCGUCUUCGGACCAAAGGGGGCUUUCGGGCUCCCGCGCAAAGAGUAGCCUAAGCGAGAUUAGCUUGUUGGUGAGGUAAAGGCUCACCAAGGCGACGAUCUCUAGCUGUUCUGAGAGGAAGAUCAGCCACACUGGGACUGAGACACGGCCCAGACUCCUACGGGAGGCAGCAGUGGGGAAUAUUGCACAAUGGGCGAAAGCCUGAUGCAGCCAUGCCGCGUGUGUGAAGAAGGCCUUCGGGUUGUAAAGCACUUUCAGUUGUGAGGAAAGGGGUGUAGUUAAUAGCUGCAUUCUGUGACGUUAACAACAGAAGAAGCACCGGCUAACUUCGUGCCAGCAGCCGCGGUAAUACGAGGGGUGCAAGCGUUAAUCGGAAUUACUGGGCGUAAAGCGCGCGUAGGUGGUUUAGUAAGUUGGGUGUGAAAUCCCCGGGCUUAACCUGGGAACUGCAUUCAAAACUGCUGGACUAGAGUACGAUAGAGGGGGGUAGAAUUUCAGGUGUAGCGGUGAAAUGCGUAGAGAUCUGAAGGAAUACCGGUGGCGAAGGCGGCCCCCUGGAUUGAUACUGACACUGAGGUGCGAAAGCGUGGGUAGUAAACAGGAUUAGAUAUCCUGGUAGUCCACGCCGUAAACGAUGUCAACUAGCUGUUGGAGGACUUGAUCCUUUAGUGGCGCAGUUAAUGCGUUAAGUUGACCGCCUGGGGAGUAUGGCCGCAAGGUUAAAACUCAAAUGAAUUGACGGGGGCCCGCACAAGCGGUGGAGCAUGUGGUUUAAUUCGACGCAACGCGAAGAACCUUACCUACUCUUGACAUCCUCAGAACUUUCCAGAGAUGGAUUGGUGCCUUCGGGAACUGUGAGACAGGUGCUGCAUGGCUGUCGUCAGCUCGUGUUGUGAAAUGUUGGGUUAAGUCCCGCAACGAGCGCAACCCUUAUCCUUAUUUGCCAGCACGUAAUGGUGGGAACUCUAAGGAGACUGCCGGUGAUAAACCGGAGGAAGGUGGGGACGACGUCAAGUCAUCAUGGCCCUUACGAGUAGGGCUACACACGUGCUACAAUGGCGCAUACAAAGGGCAGCGAACUGGCAACAGUAAGCGAAUCCCAUAAAGUGCGUCGUAGUCCGGAUUGGAGUCUGCAACUCGACUCCAUGAAGUCGGAAUCGCUAGUAAUCGUAGAUCAGAAUGCUACGGUGAAUACGUUCCCGGGCCUUGUACACACCGCCCGUCACACCAUGGGAGUGGGAUGCAAAAGAAGUGGCUAGUUUAACCUUCGGGAGGACGGUCACCACUUUGUGUUUCAUGACUGGGGUGAAGUCGUAACAAGGUAACCCUAGGGGAACCUGGGGUUGGAUCACCUCCUU